AUUGAACGCUGGCGGCAGGCCUAACACAUGCAAGUCGAGCGGAUGAAGGGAGCUUGCUCCUGGAUUCAGCGGCGGACGGGUGAGUAAUGCCUAGGAAUCUGCCUGUUAGUGGGGGAUAACGUCCGGUAACGGGCGCUAAUACCGCAUACGUCCUGAGUGAGAAAGUGGGGGAUCUUCGGACCUCACGCUAUCAGAUGAGCCUAGGUCGGAUUAGCUAGUUGGUGGGGUAAAGGCCUACCAAGGCGACGAUCCGUAACUGGUCUGAGAGGAUGAUCAGUCACACUGGAACUGAGACACGGUCCAGACUCCUACGGGAGGCAGCAGUGGGGAAUAUUGGACAAUGGGCGAAAGCCUGAUGCAGCCAUGCCGCGUGUGUGAAGAAGGUCUUCGGAUUGUAAAGCACUUUAAGCUGGGAGGAAGGGAAGUAAGUUAAUACCUUGGUGUUUUGACGUUACCCACAGAAUAAGCACCGGCUAACUUCGUG
rnacentral:rRNA from 1 species